GAUGAAGAACGCAGCGAAAUGCGAUAAGUAAUGUGAAUUGCAGAAUUCAGUGAAUCAUCGAAUCUUUGAACGCACAUUGCGCCCGCCAGUAUUCUGGCGGGCAUGCCUGUUCGAGCGUCAUUUCAACCAUCAAGCCCCCGGCUUGUGUUGGGGACCUGCGGCUGCCGCAGGCCCUGAAAAGCAGUGGCGGGCUCGCUGUCACACCGAGCGUAGUAGCAUACAUCUCGCUCUGGGCGUGCUGCGGGUUCCGGCCGUUAAACCACCUGCAUAACCCAAGGUUGACCUCGGAUCAGGUAGGAAGACCCGCUGAACUUAAGCAUAUCAAUAAGCGGAGGA
rnacentral:misc_RNA from 1 species